UACGUAGGGGGCUAGCGUUGCUCGGAAUCACUGGGCGUAAAGGGUGCGUAGGCGGGUCUUUAAGUCAGGGGUGAAAUCCUGGAGCUCAACUCCAGAACUGCCUUUGAUACUGAGGAUCUUGAGUUCGGGAGAGGUGAGUGGAACUGCGAGUGUAGAGGUGAAAUUCGUAGAUAUUCGCAAAAACACCAGUGGCGAAGGCGGCUCACUGGCCCGAUACUGACGCUGAGGCACGAAAGCGUGGGGAGCAAACAGG
rnacentral:rRNA from 1 species